UACUAGUGAGAAGAGAAUAGAGGUGAACUAAACAGGAAAUGAUGCGUUCGUGCCAAAUGAAGGCCAAAUGACAUCGCAGAGGGCUGUACAAAGUAGUGCAAGGAGAGAGAGGAAAGCGGUUUGCAAACCGAGUGAGCACACGAGGUAGUAAUGUGGGUACGUGGAGCUCUGGGCACCGGGUCUGCACCAGCAGGACGGAACUCAGGCUGCAAACUGUGACUGAGCUUCCACCAGACGUGACUCAUGGCUGCAUGCUGGCGUUGUAUUGCGUUUGUAUUUGAAUCUGCUUUUAGUUGGAUGGUUUCUGUACAUUGCUCAAGUUCGAAGACCACUGCACAGAAUGAAUGGGUCCACCAACUUUGCUUGCUCUGGGGAAACCUUCAGAUUAAGAAUCUAAAGACUGCAAAUGAAGGGGAUUUAAAAAGAGUUGAAGAAAAACAUGGAAAUGGAGCUUUUGCAAUUGGGGAGGCAGGAGCACAGAGGGACAGGAGGGGAAGAGAAACAAAAAAGAUCUAAAGUGUGUUGUGUACAAGCGCAAACUCCCCACGACAAACGCAACCAUUAUGAAUGAAACAUAAACAUGUACUAAUAAAAAAUCUUAAA